AGUCGAGCGGAUGAGUGGAGCUUGCUCCAUGAUUCAGCGGCGGACGGGUGAGUAAUGCCUAGGAAUCUGCCUGGUAGUGGGGGACAACGUUUCGAAAGGAACGCUAAUACCGCAUACGUCCUACGGGAGAAAGUGGGGGAUCUUCGGACCUCACGCUAUCAGAUGAGCCUAGGUCGGAUUAGCUAGUUGGUGAGGUAAAGGCUCACCAAGGCGACGAUCCGUAACUGGUCUGAGAGGAUGAUCAGUCACACUGGAACUGAGACACGGUCCAGACUCCUACGGGAGGCAGCAGUGGGGAAUAUUGGACAAUGGGCGAAAGCCUGAUCCAGCCAUGCCGCGUGUGUGAAGAAGGUCUUCGGAUUGUAAAGCACUUUAAGUUGGGAGGAAGGGCAGUAAGUUAAUACCUUGCUGUUUUGACGUUACCAACAGAAUAAGCACCGGCUAACUUCGUGCCAGCAGCCGCGGUAAUACGAAGGGUGCAAGCGUUAAUCGGAAUUACUGGGCGUAAAGCGCGCGUAUGUGGUUCGUUAAGUUGGAUGUGAAAGCCCCGGGCUCAACCUGGGAACUGCAUCCAAAACUGGCGAGCUAGAGUAUGGCAGAGGGUGGUGGAAUUUCCUGUGUAGCGGUGAAAUGCGUAGAUAUAGGAAGGAACACCAGUGGCGAACGCGACCACCUGGGCUAAUACUGACACUGAUGUGCGAAAGCGUUGGGGAGCAAACAGGAUUAGAUACCC
rnacentral:rRNA from 2 species